rnacentral:rRNA from 1 species
AGUGAACGCUGGCGGUAGGCCUAACACAUGCAAGUCGAACGGCAGCACAGUAAGAGCUUGCUCUUACGGGUGGCGAGUGGCGGACGGGUGAGGAAUACAUCGGAAUCUACUUUUUCGUGGGGGAUAACGUAGGGAAACUUACGCUAAUACCGCAUACGACCUACGGGUGAAAGCAGGGGAUCUUCGGACCUUGCGCGAUUGAAUGAGCCGAUGUCGGAUUAGCUAGUUGGCGGGGUAAAGGCCCCCAAAGGCGACGAUCCGUAGCUGGUCUAGGAGGAUGGUCGGCACACUGGGACUGAGACAAGGUCCAGAACCCCACGGGAAGCCAGAAGUGGGAAAUUUGGACAAUGGGGGGAAGCCUUAUCCAGCCAAACCGGGGGGGGUAAAAAGGGCCUCCGGUUGGUAAAGCCCUUUUUUGGGAAAAAAAAGCAGCAGGGUUAAUCCCCGCUGUUCUGACGGUACCCAAAGAAUAAGCACCGGCUAACUUCGUG